rnacentral:rRNA from 1 species
GAUGAACGCUGGCGGCGUGCCUAAUACAUGCAAGUCGAGCGAACAGACGAGGAGCUUGCUCCUCUGACGUUAGCGGCGGACGGGUGAGUAACACGUGGAUAACCUACCUAUAAGACUGGGAUAACUUCGGGAAACCGGAGCUAAUACCGGAUAAUAUAUUGAACCGCAUGGUUCAAUAGUGAAAGACGGUUUUGCGGUCACUUAUAGAUGGAUCCGCGCCGCAUUAGCUAGUUGGUAAGGUAACGGCUUACCAAGGCAACGAUGCGUAGCCGACCUGAGAGGGUGAUCGGCCACACUGGAACUGAGACACGGUCCAGACUCCUACGGGAGGCAGCAGUAGGGAAUCUUCCGCAAUGGGCGAAAGCCUGACGGAGCAACGCCGCGUGAGUGAUGAAGGUCUUCGGAUCGUAAAACUCUGUUAUUAGGGAAGAACAAAUGUGUAAGUAACUAUGCACGUCUUGACGGUACCUAAUCAGAAAGCCACGGCUAAUUACGUG